GGGAAAAAGAUGGAAAAAUGUGCUCAUCUUCUCCAUGGUGAACAAAAUCAGCAAGGGGGAAGCCAUAGUUAGGGUUUUUAAGCUUCCAAGCUCAAUAAUCAAGAAAGAUGAGAAGACUACCUCAAACGGGGAAAAGAGAAGAUAGUUGAGUAAAUUGCAAAAUUACGAUAUUUUGCACCGAGUGACAUCAAUCAACUCGGAACUUGGACGACGUCAGAUAAUCAUCCACACUAUCAUCAACUUUUUGGGUAUUUUGCAAUUAAUACUUUGGAAACAUGGCAUGUAUAGAUGACUUUAUGUAAUGUGGUAUAAAUAUGUAUAUAUUCAGUAUUGUUCGGUUUAAUAUGUUGGUGUUUAUUAAUGGAUAAAUUAUGUCUGAACAUAUAACUGUAAUUGGUUGGAAAUAUUGAAGUUGUUUGAAAUUGUCUUUGAAAAUUUGCAGGGAGUUUUAUGUAAAAAUAAGCAGAAAUGCUGCCGAAAUUUUUAUAAAA